rnacentral:rRNA from 1 species
GAUGAACGCUGGCGGCGUGCCUAACACAUGCAAGUCGAGCGAACAGACGAGGAGCUUGCGCCGUCGACGAUAGCGGCGGACGGGUGAGUAACACGUAUGAAAUGUACUUAUAAGACGGGGAUAAUUACGGGAAAGCGGAGCUUAUACCGGAGAAUAUCCCGAAGCGCAUGGUUCGAUAGUGAAAGACGGCGGUGCUGUCAGUAAUAGAUGGACCUGCGCCGUAUGAGCUAGUUGGUAAGGUAACGGGCCACCAAGGGAAGGAGUCGUAGCCGAGCUGAGAGGGUGAUCGGCCACACUGGAACUGAGACACGGUCCAGACUCCUACGGGAGGCAGCAGUAGGGAAUCGUCCGCAGUGGGCGAGAGCCUGACGGAGCAGCGCCGCGUGAGUGAUGAAGGUCUUCGGAUCGUAAAACUCUGUUAUUAGGGAAAAACAAACUUGUAAGUAACUGUGGACGUCUUGACGGUACCUAAUCAGAAAGCCACGGCUAACUACGUG